rnacentral:rRNA from 1 species
AUGAACGCUGGCGGCGUGCCUAAUACAUGCAAGUCGAGCGAACAGACGAGGAGCUUGCUCCUCUGACGUUAGCGGCGGACGGGUGAGUAACACGUGGAUAACCUACCUAUAAGACUGGGAUAACUUCGGGAAACCGGAGCUAAUACAGGCGAAUAUAUUGAACCGCAUGGCUCAAUAGUGAAAGACGGUUUUGCUGUCACUUAUAGAUGGAUCCGCGCCGCAUUAGCUAGUUGGUAAGGUAACGGCUUACCAAGGCAACGAUGCGUAGCCGACCUGAGAGGGUGAUCGGCCACACUGGAACUGAGACACGGUCCAGACUCCUACGGGAGGCAGCAGUAGGGAAUCUUCCGCAAUGGGCGAAAGCUUGACGGAGCAACGCCGCGUGAGUGAUGAAGGUCUUCGGAUCGUAGAACUCUGUUAUUCGGGAAGAACAAAUGUGUAAGUAACUAUGCACGUCUUGACGGUACCUAAUCAGAAAGCCACGGCUAACUACGUG